rnacentral:rRNA from 1 species
GUCCACGCCCUAAACGAUGUCAACUGGUUGUUGGGGAUUUAUUCUCUUAGUAACGAAGCUAACGCGUGAAGUUGACCGCCUGGGGAGUACGGUCGCAAGAUUAAAACUCAAAGGAAUUGACGGGGCCCGCACAAGCGGUGGAUGAUGUGGAUUAAUUCGAUGCAACGCGAAAACCUUACCUACGCUUGACAUGUCCGAAAGCCCCGAAGAGAUUUGGGUGUGCUCGAAAGAGAAUCGGAACACAGGUGCUGCAUGGCUGUCGU